rnacentral:lncRNA from 1 species
ACACAUAUAUAUAUAUAUAUAUAUAUAAGCUAUAAUUUUACUCUUUCUAUUUUUUUUUUUUUAUUUUUUUUUUUUAUUGCUUUGCUUUAGUUAUAAUAUUACAUUUACACUUAAAAGAAGAUCAUAUAAUAAUUAAAUCUAUCAGCUCAAUGAAACUAAAAUUUGUUUAUAUAAUAAAAAAUAUACCUAUUUUUAGAAAUUUAGUGAAAACUGUAGCAAUAACGAAUGAAAAAAUUAAUACCUUUUUAGUUUCAUUAAUAAAAAAUUCUAAUUUAAGUCGACCAUAUUUAGAAGCACUUCAAGGAUUAAAUACCGAAUUUUCUAUUUUGUUUAUUAUAUUAAUUAUUAUUUUUUUCACAGGAACAUUUUUAUUACAUAUUAUAUAUGAAUUUUUGAAUAUAAAAAGUGAAACAUUUAAUACAGUAAAACGAACUAAUGUUUUUGUUACUAAUAAAAUGACUUUAGAAGAAUAUGAAGAUAAAUCCUUUACAUAUGCCGAAUUAGCUAAAUUACAUGAAGAUAAAGAUUAUAUUUGUUUAAAAAAUAAAAGAGCUGGGCAAGGUAUUGAUUCAUGGAAUUGGCAAGUAAGGAAAUUUAAUAAAAAAACAAAUGACAUAGACAUAUGUAGUGAUAUUGAGUUUUCUGACAAUGAUGAUAACUAAGUUUUAUUUUUUUUUUUUUUUACUCUUAUUAACGCCAUUAUAUAAUAACACCUACAUAAAUAUAUACAUAUAUAUACAUAUAUAUAUCCUUAAUUAUAUGUACCUAUACGUAUAUAAAGGUUUAUAUAAUAUAUAUGUAUAUACAACAUACUACUUAGAGCUGUUUCCUUUUUUUUUUUUUUUUUCUUCAUUAUUUUUCCUUUACGCUUUUAUUUGUUAAAUCUUUUAUGUUAUUAUUUUAUAUUUUACUAUUAUAAGUUUUUAAAUGCCACUUUUGUUUCUCAUAUGUUUACAUAAAUAUCCACAUAUAUAUAUUUUUUAAUAAAAUAAAAAAUUGACGGUGUCUAUGCUUAUAU